UGGCUCAGAACGAACGCUGGCGGCGUGGAUUAGGCAUGCAAGUCGAACGAAUCCCAGUUGGGCAACUGACUGGGGGAAGUGGCGAAAGGGGCAGUAAGGCGUGGGUAACCUACCCCGGGGAUCGGGAUAGCCGUCCUAACGGACGGGUAAUACCGGGCGAUCUGGCGAAGGGGCAUCUCUUUGCCAGGAAAUGAGUUUCGCCUCGGGAGGGGCUCACGUAGUAUUAGCUUGUUGGCGGGGUAACGGCCCACCAAGGCCAGGAUGCUUAGCGGGUGUGAGAGCACGACCCGCGCCACUGGCACUGAAACACGGGCCAGAGACCUACGGGAGGCAGCUUCGCGGAUCUU
rnacentral:rRNA from 1 species